rnacentral:rRNA from 1 species
CCUACGGGAGGCAGCAGUGAGGAAUAUUGGACAAUGGGCGUAAGCCUGAACCAGCCAAGUCGCGCGAGGGAUGAAGGUUCUAUGGAUCGUAAAUCUCUUCUAUAAGGGAAUAAAGUGUGGGACGUGUCAUGUUUUGUAUGUACCUUAUGAAUAAGGAUCGGCUAACUCCGUGCCAGCAGCCGCGGUAAUACGGAGGAGCAGAGCGUUAUCCGGAUUUAUUGGGUUUAAAGGGUGCGUAGGCGGCCUUUUAAGUCAGCGGUGAAAGUCUGUGGCUCAACCAUAGAAUUGCCGUUGAAACUGGGAGGCUUGAGUAUGUUUGAGGCAGGCAGAAUGCGUGGUGUAGCGGUGAAAUGCUUAGAUAUCACGCAGAACCCCGAUUGCGAAGGCAGCCUGCCAAGCCAUGACUGACGCUGAUGCACGAAAGCGUGGGGAUCAAACAGGAUUAGAUACCCUAGUAGUC